UACGAAGGGGGGCUAGCGUUGCUCGGAAUCACUGGGCGUAAAGCGCACGUAGGCGGAUUGUUAAGUCAGGGGUGAAAUCCUGGAGCUCAACUCCAGAACUGCCUUUGAUACUGAGGAUCUUGAGUUCGGGAGAGGUGAGUGGAACUGCGAGUGUAGAGGUGAAAUUCGUAGAUAUUCGCAAGAACACCAGUGGCGAAGGCGGCUCACUGGCCCGAUACUGACGCUGAGGCACGAAAGCGUGGGGAGCAAACAGGG
rnacentral:rRNA from 1 species